rnacentral:rRNA from 12 species
GCUUGUGGCCAGACCACCCUGGUCGAACCUGAUCCUGUCUGCUCUUGGCAGCCCAGCAAGGUUGAGCCUGGGUAGUACUUGGGCAGCACGUUGGGGAGGUGGUUAGCACUGUCG